rnacentral:rRNA from 1 species
AAUGCUUAGGAAUCUGCCUUUAGUGGGGGACAACUUUCCGCCUGGAAUGCUAAUACCGCAUACCCCCUACGAGGGAAAGAUCGGGAUCUUGGACCUUGCGCUAAUACCUGAGCCUAACUCGAAUUAGCUAGUUGGAGGGGUAAAGGCCUACCACGGCGACGAUCUGUCAUGGGUCUGAUAUGAUGAUCCGCCUUCUGGGACUGACACUUUGCCCAAACUCCUACCGAAGGGAAUUAUGGCUAAUAUUGGACGAUGGUUGCUCGCCUGAUCCACCCCUGCCACGUGUGUGACAAAAGCCUUUUGGUUGUAAAGCACUUUAAGCGAGGACGAAUUUACUUGGAUUAAUACUCUAGGAUAGUGGACGUUACUCGCAGAAUGAAACCGGCUAACUCUGUGCCAGAAGCCGCGGUAUACUGAGGGUGCGAGCGUUAAUCGAGAUUUACUGGGCGUAAAGCGUGCGUAGGCGGCUUCUUAAAUCGGAUGUGAAAUCCCUGAGCUUAACUUAGGAAUCUGAUUCAAUACUGAGGCUCUAGAGUAAGGGAGAGGAUGGUAGAAUUCAUUGUGUAGCGGGAAAUGCAUGCCGUUCUGGAG